CUUGAGUUGUGGGAACCUUGUUCUAAGGGUUAAUAAAUAUCUAACGUUGUGGCAAGGAUUCGGGUGAAUAGAAUGAGGAAAAACUAUUUAAGAAUUUUAUUGCAUUUCACUGAUAGAAGAUCUGUAAUUAUAUGCCAGAAUUUGAAGCGAAAAUACAUGAAACGUGUGGGAUGAUUGAAUUCGAUGAAUGGGAGUUGCAGAUCUGAGGAUGAUACUACUCUUUAUUUAUUUAUUUUAUUUUGACAUUCUUAGUAUUCUGAAAAUCAGUUAGCUGGCCAUACAUCAUUUGUUAGGUUUCGUGAAUGUGGUUGUUUAUUUAUUCAGUAAUCAAUAUGAAUUUCACCUCUACAUACUGUUGUUUCCAAUCAGGUACCCCAACGGAAAAUGACUAUGAUUGUGGUC
rnacentral:misc_RNA from 1 species